CGCACCUUGCGCUCCUUGGUAUUCCGAGGAGCAUGCCUGUUUGAGUGUCAUGAAAUUCUCAACCCAUAAAUCCUUGUGAUCUAUGGGCUUGGAUUUGGAGGCUUGCUGGCCGUAACGGUCAGCUCCUCUUGAAUGCAUUAGCUUGAUUCCGUGCGGAUCGGCUCUCAGUGUGAUAAUUGUCUACGCUGUGACCGUGAAGCGUUUUGGCGAGCUUCUAACCGUCCAUUAGGACAAUUUUAUAACAUCUGACCUCAAAUCAGGUAGGACUACCCGCUGAACUUAA
rnacentral:misc_RNA from 1 species